rnacentral:rRNA from 1 species
GGGAUAACUACUGGAAACGGUAGCUAAUACCGCAUAACGUCGCAAGACCAAAGAGGGGGACCUUCGGGCCUCUUGCCAUCGGAUGUGCCCAGAUGGGAUUAGCUAGUAGGUGGGGUAACGGCUCACCAAGGCGACGAUCCCUAGCUGGUCUGAGAGGAUGACCAGCCACACUGGAACUGAGACACGGUCCAGACUCCUACGGGAGGCAGCAGUGGGGAAUAUUGCACAAUGGGCGCAAGCCUGAUGCAGCCAUGC